UUUUUCUUUAUUUUUAAACAAAUUAUCACUGUUUUCUGUUUGUUUUUGGAUUCUAGAUCACUAGAAGGCUUACUUAAAUUAGGGGGCAAAGAUAAACAUUUUUAAUUAAAAAGGAUAUGAAAUGGGGGAUUUAAUAUGGCUCCAUGGAAAGAAAAUUGUUAUCUUAUACUAAUUAUGUUUCCCACUCUUCUUUGGAAUACUAAAUGUUUGGAUGAAUAAUUUGUCACUCUCAAUUCUACCUUGAUUUGUAAGUUUGUUUUAUAGGAUUGCAUUUGAAUGGGCAUAUUUCUUCUUUUUCUUUUAGGCCGUUUAAUCUUGUACUAAGUCUACAAGAAAAUCCAAUCCUACAUUAAUUAAUUCUUCCUUAAUAAGCAAAUGUCCUACACUGCCAUUUCAACCACCAGAGCCUGUAAUUGUAACAUCUUUAUGAGGAGUUAUUGAUCAUUACAUUAGCUUUUGUAAUUCAACCGAAAGUGGAAUGGUUUGCUGCAAAGCUAUCAAGUUUAUGAUGAAGAAAUCUCCAACACAUGAACUAUAUCAGGAAUGCUAUUACGAAGCCCGUGAACUUGAUCUGCACGAGAACUUUUCCCAGGUACUAAAUAGCAGUUUAAUUGUUGGUUUUCUACCCACUUAUUUCACUUGUUAAUAGAGUUUAUGUUUCUUUUUGUAUCAAAAAGUGGUAGAAUGCCCCAACGCUAUUUUGCAUAUUAUUAAUAGAGUUUAUGUUGAAGCAUGUGAUUUUGAUAUUGAAGAGAUUUCAACAAGCAGGCUCCAUAAUUUUGCAUAUUGGAUUGUAUUUACAUAUCGUGGUGGUUUGCUUUGAUUGGUUAUUGGAGGAAGCAAAGCAAAAUGUUGUAAACGAAGCAAAACUGAGGAGUAACUGGAAAACAGGAAUAGAGAAAGUGAAAAAAGGAAAAGUAAUGUGAUAACAUGGUGGAAAGGUGACAAGAAGAGAAAGCAGAUAACAAAAAGGUUUGUGGGUUUCGGGUCCAAUUCCAAUAUAUAAGUGUGAAGUACCGGCGUCCAACUUCUAGUUCUUCAAACACACUUAUGUGGUGACUUAAAUGCCAUCAAUAGAAAUAUGGCUUCUGCUGAAUCAAAUUAAUAUUUUCAAUUCGAGCUGAGCUCCAUGGGCAUACACUUGGAUUUUUAUUUUGCAUCUCGCCUCUUUCUUA